rnacentral:rRNA from 1 species
UACGGAGGGGGCUAGCGUUGUUCGGAAUUACUGGGCGUAAAGCGCACGUAGGCGGCUUUGCAAGUCAGAGGUGAAAGCCCGGGGCUCAACCCCAGAAUUGCCUUUGAGACUGCAUCGCUAGAAUUGUGGAGAGGUAAGUGGAAUUCCGAGUGUAGAGGUGAAAUUCGUAGAUAUUCGGAAGAACACCAGUGGCGAAGGCGACUUACUGGACACAUAUUGACGCUGAGGUGCGAAAGCGUGGGGAGCAAACAGG